rnacentral:lncRNA from 1 species
AGAGAGAAAGAGAGUCUUUUUUGUCGUCGUUAGGAAGAGACAAUCUUGCAGGGGAUUUAAGAGAUAUGUGCGUCUCUCUCCCACCCCCUUUCCUCUGCUUAUGGAAAAUGAGCCAGGAACAAGCUGGACACAGGAGACAGAUGGAGGCCUUCUCUCCAACUGUUGACACCAGCCAAACAGGAUAAAUAGUUCAUAUUGUAAUGAUGACAAUGAUAAUGAUGAAGAGAAAGCAUUAACCCAGAUGAAAAAAAGUUUUGAUUUUAAGCUCUGCUUAAGCCCCGAAGUCCUGCUGUCAGAGCCACUUACAUGAUCCAAGGGACUUUUGACUACAAAGACGGGAAUUUAAGGUGAAUGAAAAUGGCCACUCCAGCCCCGAUUCAACAAUAGCCUUCAGUUCACAUAUCAACAAUUGUGAAUAAACUGCACCUCUGGGAAAGAAAUGCAUUGCAUGGAUACACUUUAUAAAGAAAUUCCAGAAGGUCGUCACUCUAGCGGGAGACGGAGGUGGCCAACGAAAAAGAAGUCCAUGUCCCAGCAGGCUGAAGUGAAGUAGGAGAAAAUCUCUGGCCGUGGGUCCAUCAGUGACACUCGGCGUCUUUUCUUUCAGAAGAGGGGCUAGAGCAGACAGAACGCUUAGAGGUUGCAAUGGGCAAGAGAGAGGGAAGGAAAGCGACGACAGAGAGCUGCCAGGGAGUCUAAGAGGCUGCAUCCUUCAGGCGGCGCGAGAAAGGGUCUUCAGCUCCAGAUCAAGAUUCCGAAGAGUUAAAUAUUACUACGCAGCCCGACCGGGAUGGGAUUUGCUUCUGGGUACAAAACGGGACACUGAUCAAAAUCAACUUGGACAAGUGACAAGACUGAGUCUGACGAUUGUGGGUGUCUUUUAAGGUCGUUGGAGGGGAGAGGAUGGGAGGCGGUGUGCUCAGGGGUAGGUGGAGGGAAGCAUCAAAUCCAGGGAUAUAAAGGGACACGGAGCCGGGAAACAGAGGACAAAAAUGCGUGGGGAAAGAGAGAGAGGAAGAGUUGAAGAAAAGUAAGGGGAAAGUAGGGACAGGGUUAAGGGGAGAGAGGAGGAUAAGAGAGAAGUGAGGGCGGCUAGGAGGGAUUAAAAAGGGAAAGGGGAUCGCCGGAGAGAAGGGCGGACGGCUGGCUCGGGAGGUGGGGAGGCGGCGAGG